UGGUCAAAAUACCAAUAUUGUAGAGUUAUGUCUUGUGGAAAUUUUACCACUGAUUUCAUUGCAUUUGGACUUUUGUAGACUAAGUUAUGGCCUUUUUGCCAAAACUGGUCAGGUAGGCCUAUGUCCAGCAAAUUCUGGGCAGUAUGGUUCUGGACAGUUUUGUGAUCUAACUUGGGUCAGCAAUUUGGUUUGGUUAAAAACAUUUCUGGGCUCUGUGUUCUUCAUGAAAGUUGUA
rnacentral:misc_RNA from 1 species